rnacentral:rRNA from 1 species
AACGAACGCUGGCGGCAGGCCUAACACAUGCAAGUCGAGCGAGCAUUUCGGUGCUAGCGGCGGACGGGUGAGUAACGCGUGGGAACGUGCCCUUUUCUGCGGAAUAGUCCUGGGAAACUGGGGGUAAUACCGCAUACGCCCUUUUGGGGAAAGAUUUAUCGGAGAAGGAUCGGCCCGCGUUGGAUUAGGUAGUUGGUGGGGUAAUGGCCCACCAAGCCGACGAUCCAUAGCUGGUUUGAGAGGAUGAUCAGCCACACUGGGACUGAGACACGGCCCAGACCCCCCCGGGGGGGAGCAGUGGGGAAUCUUAGACAAUGGGGGCAACCCUGAUCUAGCCAUGCCGGGGGGGUGAUGAAGGCCUUAGGGUUGUAAAGCUCUUUCAGCUGGGAAGAUAAUGACGGUACCAGAAGAAGAAGCCCCGGCUAACUCCGU